GAUGAACGCUGGCGGCGUGCCUAAUACAUGCAAGUCGAACGAGGUGCUUUUGUAGCAAUACGAGGGUAUCCUAGUGGCGAACGGGUGAGUAACGCGUUGGUGACCUACCCCAAAGUGUGGGAUAACAGUCCGAAAGGAUUGCUAAUACCGCAUGUGGUCUUCGGAUUUAGAAACUGAUGACUAAAGGAGCAAUUCGCUUUGGGAGGGACCUGCGUCCCAUCAGCUAGUUGGUGAGGUAAUGGCUCACCAAGGCUACGACGGGUAGGGGACCUGAGAGGGUGACCCCCCCACAAUGGAACUGAAACACGGUCCAUACACCUACGGGUGGCAGCAGUAGGGAAUAUUGCACAAUGGGCGAAAGCCUGAUGCAGCAACGCCGCGUGUGCGAUGAAGGCCUUCGGGUCGUAAAGCACUUUUCUGGGAGAUGAGCAAGGACAGUAUCUCAGGAAUAAGUCUCGGCUAACUACGUGCCAGCAGCCGCGGUAAU
rnacentral:rRNA from 1 species